rnacentral:snoRNA from 2 species
ACGACCUUACUUGAACAAAUUAUGUUCUAUAGGUUCGUAGUAUUGUAUCCUCGAUUUCUAAGCAGACAGAAAACUAAGUUUGGUAGAUGAAUCGUGGCCAUUAGAUCAGAGUGUGAUUAACAACCUUCGAGUCGUGGUGUCAUAGUCGUAGAUGAUCGUUCUUAUCUCCAAUCUGACAAAAA